UUCUGCGUAGUUUAGUGGCUAUGACGGGUCCUUGUCAUUUCGACACGGCUCGGACCAGACCCGGGUUCAAUUCCCGGCGCGGAAG